rnacentral:lncRNA from 1 species
UUGAUUCCUCAGUACAUUACUAUCAUUAUUGUGAGAUAAUUACUCUAAUCCAAACAGAUAAUUGUGUACUCUCAAUCAUCCAAUAAAAGAGAAAGCAGAGAAAAAAAAUAAAGUCCCUUAAAAUUUGGCUUUAGCACAUGGGUUUUCUUUAGCAGCAGAGUAAGUUGUCACUAUCAUCACAAUCACAGUAGUAUGGCAGUUGUGCCACACCAUGAGACAACAAGGGCAAAACUGGCCAUUUUUCACUGAGAUAUUAUGCCAUUGCCACCCACCACCCACACUCUUUGCACUGCAGUAGUAAUCAUCUGUUAAUAUGUACAGUGACUGUCACCAUGCUUACCACCCAUACUUAUUAUACAUACAAUAACAAUUCUGAAAUAUUUCUGCCAUUUCAUGCCUGUUGCUUGCUGCCCUUCCUCUUUUUUAAAUCAACCUAUUUAAGGAGAAUAAGAAAGAAGAAACUAUUUCCAAGCUUCAGACACUGUAGUACUAUUAUCAUAGAUGUGUGCAUGUAACAGGUUGCACAAAAAUAGAAACAAUACUAGAACUAGAGUUUAUUAUUUCUUUUGUUCUUUUUUUAUUGGGGGGCCUUAAAGAUAUAGAAUCUACAAGCACAAACUAAUAGAAUUUCUAAUAAUUAAUUAAUAAACUCUCAAAUCCCGAUGCAAAGAACUGGGAUUCUUCUCAUUUUUGUCAUCGCAAAUUAAUGUCAAAGCUAUUUAAAGAAAAAGAAAAUGACUAACCUAACUUGCAUGUGAUUUUCCUUUUUCAAUCUCAAGUUUAUACAAUUGGACUGGAGCGUAUAGCUACAUUAGCCUACAGAGCUUUCAAAUCUCACUGCAAGAAGUAUUCUCCUCAUUGUUGUCAUCACAAAAUUGAAUGACAGAAGCUAUAACUAAAGGGAAAAGGAUGAUCAAAGAAGCAAAGGAAAUUAAUUUUAAUUUGAAUACGCGAAUAACAUGAAGGGGAAAGUGAAAGAAAAUUUGGAAAAAGCAGAAACAAAAAAGAAGCUAGCUAUAUAAUUAAGUUGCAAACUUUCUUUCUCAUUUCCCUCCAGUACUUUCUCUUCAACCAAACAAACAAAAAAAAAAAAGAAAAGAUAAAACAUGUAAAAAUCUAAAACAACAAGAGAUCCUCUCUCUAUUUGUUCUUUUUUUUUUUGUUCUGUCGCAUUAGAAAAAAGAAACUAGCAAGAAGUACUAUAAUAUUACAGCAUUCUCAUUAUCUGCUUCAGUAGUACUAGAUCCAUAGAACUGAAUUAAUCUCUGCAAAACAAAGACUUGGGUUCUUAAGAGAACAAUGUAAUCAGCAGUUUCUUGGAACAACUGGUCAGCUUUUACAAUCUCUCCAUUGUUAGCAGGAAUAAGAUUCUUGAGAGCUUCCAGCUUGUGCGAUACCUUUGAUGAUGAGCAGGUGCUGCUUCUUUGAGCUUUCUUGCAGAGACGACGUCGUACAUGUAUUAAUCUUCUUCUUCUUCUUUCCAAGAUUGAUGUUCUUUUCCUCGGUGUUUUCUUCUUCUGCUUCAUAGAAAUCUUGGAAUUCUUAGAGACUGAACUCAUGGUGGUGCUGAGUGAGCGAGCGAGCGAGUUAGCGUUGUAAAGAGAAAAGAAAUAGAUAUAUGAGUAUGUUAUAGGCAAGGAAGUUUAAGCGAGAGUCGAGGUUUAAGUAAUGAAGGGUUGGGCAAUUACCACUUGAUUUCUGGAAGUUUUACAAAAGUGCCACUCGUGGCCUUUUCUUUGUCUCAUUACCACAUCAUCUCCUCGCUCCCUCUUUCUUUCCAAUACUUUUCUUCUUUUUUAUUAUUUUAGGUUUCUUUUCUGAGUGUGUGCUC